rnacentral:tRNA from 1 species
GCUGGAGUAGCUCAGCUGGUAGAGCAGCCGCCUUGUAAGCGGCAGGUCGCAGGUUCGAAUCCUGUCUCCAGCU